AUUUACCUUUUCUUUCUUUGUUUUCUUUCUUCUUCGUUUUCUUUGUUCUCUACCCUUACAAACCUUAAAAUUUUCUUUAUGGUGUGGUUUGGUUUUAAUGGAGUAGAUCACACGCACACCACGAAUGAAGAUGAAAGAGAGGAAGAAGGAGACUACAAAAUUUAUGUGGUUCGACCAAAGGAAGUCUACAUCCACGAGAAGGAUCUCUUUCCUUGAUGUUUGAAGAUAAGUACAAUCGUUUUGCUUUCCUUUUUCUUUUUUCUAUAUCUACUUGUAAAAGUGAGUGUAUGUAAAAACUUGAUCAAUUUUUUAAUAUACCUUUAUAUUUAUGGGUGUUUACAAAGACAAGAAAAUUAGCAGAAAACUGAAAACUAAUGUUGUUAGAAUUAAGUUUCUACAAAUCUCCACAUUGAGUCCAACUUGUAAUAGUUUCAGAGGUCCUUCUAACCGUCUGACAUUUUUUCUUCAUCCUUUUUCUGGAGCUUCAACUUUGAAACGGGCUUGGUGAGCAUGUCAGCAGCUUUUUCAAAGGCUGCUCAAGUGCUAGACAACUUGUUGUGUAAAGCUUGGAGGAGAAGAUGCAACGUCUCUUGUGAUGGCAGUUGUACACGUGUAUGAAGUAAAUCAUACGCACCACGAAUGAAGAUGAAGGAGAAGAAGAAGGAGACUACAAGAUUUACGUGGUUGGCCAAAGGAAGUCUACAUCCACGAGAAGGAUCUCUUUCCUCGAUGUUUGAAGAUAAGUACAAUAGUUUUGCUUUUCUUUUUCUUUUAUCUAUAUCUACUUGUAAAAGUGAGUGUAUGUAAAAACUUGAUUAAUUUUUUAAUACAUCUUUAUAUUUAUAGGUAUUACAAGGACAAGAAAAUUAACAAAAAACUGAAAAACUAAUGUUGUUGGAAUUAAGUUUCUACAAAUCUCCACAUUGAAUCCAACUUGUAAUAGUUUUAGAGAUCCUUCUAGGCGUCUAACCUUUUUUUCUAUAUUUGUCUUUCGUUAUUCCCUUUCUGAAUGAGUCACUCAUCAAUGGUUGUCGCUCUGUAAGAUCCUUAGUCAGUUUUUACUCCAAUUAAAGUUCUCUCUUUUCGAGGGGAAGUUAUGUUUUAGUGAGUAGAGUGGAACUACCCAAACUGUCUCAUUCGAUUGGGAUGCGUCGUCUCUUUUGUCUCUAUCACAACAAUCAAAAUGAGACACAACAACCAGACUCAAGGGGAUGAACCACUCCCAAGUCAAUCAUUUGAGAAAACAAGUCAAAAGUCUCCAUUGGAAAAGAGCAAAUUAAGCAACUUUCUAUAGGCUAGAAUUAGGGUUAAAUAGUAACUUUUAUGCUUAUGACAUAAGAGCCAAAUUUCGUUGAUUUGGAAGGUUGUGGUUAAUUUCAUUUAAGCACCAAUAAAGGAUCCUUUGAUACAAUUCUUUCAAGAUAAGGGUAGCAAAGAUUUUUCAUCGUAAAAACAUGUUUUCAAUUAUCACUUAAUUAUCUGUCAAAUAGCUUGAAGACUUAAUUAAUGUUGUGAAACGUGGUCCAUGGUUAAAAAACAAAGACCUAUUAACUAAUAUAGCCUAAAUAUAGAUUUGUAUUUACAAGUUGGACCAAAUAUUACAAUAUUUUUCACAAAAGUCCUAAUAGGCUACAAAUUGACAUAAAUAUUGAACUCGAAUGCCAAAACUUCCCAUCUCUAAAGAAAAUAAGAAAAGUAAACAAACACACAUAUAAGAAAUUUACACAAAUAUUGAACGGUUUUAUUUUCAAAUUUGAUCGAAAACUUUUCUUCUUCAAGCAACUUCCAAAAACUAGUCUUAUUUCUUCGAAAAGCAACCGACAAACUAUCUUGUUCCGUCUUUUGUGUAAGAAAACUUGGGUUUUGGCGAAGAGGAGGCUUAGGUAAGAAAAGUUUCGACUGUUGCACACCGUUUUGGUAAGUAAUGUUUGAUUAUAUUAAGUACUUGUUAGGGUAUAUUCUGUAUAUUUCAAUUAGUGUGUGCAGAAAGUAGGGUUUCGUCGAAAUUCUUCAAAAAUUAGGGUUUAUUCUUGGAAGCUUUCUUUCAUUCAAAAUUCUUCACAAAAUUCAAUUAGUGUGUGCAAAAAUUAGGGUUUCGUCGCAAGCAGCCGAGUGCAAAAUUCAUAUUUCGGUCGUCGAAUACUGUUUUAAUAACUGUAUAUUCUGUAUAUUUCACAAAAAUUAUUGUAAAACUGCUUUCUAACUUCAGUUGGUGUGUGCAGAAAUUAGGGUUUCAUCUCAAGCAAACGAGAAUAAAUUUCAUAUUUCGACCGUCGAAUACGUUUUAGUAAGAAAUGUGUGAUGUGCACUAAAAUAGUUAGGGUAUAUUGAAUAUAUUAAAGUAUAUUAUGUAUUUUAAAUAAUCAUUUUGAUGGAGUUGAUGUGACUUAAUUACAAUAGAGGCAGCUUUUGGUGCUGACAUGCUUAAAAGAUUAGAUUUUUCGCUUAAAUCUGCCUAUAAAAAGGAACUUCAUCCUUACAAAGAAGGAAGCAACAUGUGAAUGGAUCGUCAUCCAUACACCUGAAGAGGUGGGUAGAGUCCUAGAGAGUUGGUGGCAAGGAAUAGACUUUCCACCUUCUAUAAAGCACUUCUCCAUCUACUUCGAUCGAUGUGUAGAGUGAAAGCUUGUAGUCUGAGAGAAGAAGAUCUCAUCCUUCAUCUCCCCGUAACUUAUAAUUUCAUCUCUAUUCUUUUCCGUUUUUGUAUUUCUUUACAUUGUAUUUGUUCAUAUUGUAUAGUGGUCGAAGACCUACAUUCUUUAAUACAAUGUAUUCUUACACCUUUUUUAUCCAUCCAUGUCUUUACUGUUCACCUGUCCUUAUGUUAUUUGUGGUUUAGGAUCUAUAAUAGAUUCUUGAUAGGAAGCUCUGCUUAUAAUUCUUAUUGUGUUAAUUGAGCUAUUUUAUCAUCACUUGACCAGUGUAUAUCACUAACUACCAUAGAAGGUAAGUAACAAGGAUAUGGUUAACAUGAACAAGGAGGAGUUUGGAGAAAACCUCCACUUUGGCGAGAUAACUUCCAUUAUUUGUGUCCCGAUAAGAGAACAAGUGUGGGCAUUAGGCGUCAAAAGGUUAUUGACCUUAAACGUGAAGCUCAUAACUCUUAUAAGUAAACUCUUCUUGAUAUACCUUGUUUAGAUUGGCUUAGUCAUUUAAAUCCUAAAAGGAGACAAAGUUUGGCAUUUAAAGACUCUGAUAGGAGCUCACCUUAAUCAUAAGCUAGUUAAGUAAGUCAUUUGCAUCAAGGCUUUCAUCUAUCUUAUUUGCCUGGUAGCACUAGACAUUCCUUUACCGCCCCUUCCUUAAUACAAGUUAGUUCAUUCUUACACUCCUUUCUCACGACCACCUUCAUUAAAUUAUCUUUACAACGUUCUCUAGUUUACAUAGUAGAUAUAGGUUAAAUUUACGCCCUUCCAUUAUGUAUAGUUACUCUUUUAUACCGCCUAAUGGAUAAGUAGACUCUAAAACUAAGCUUUGAUAUCAAUUUUCUGUGUUCGCUCUUAGAUCAUCCAGGAAAACCUAUUGUUUUGGCUACACUUGGAUAAGUAGUAGAAAAACUGGUACGCAACGAGGAGUUAUAAGUACAUGAUGAAGAGUUCUUUACCGAGCAUUUUGUAUGCAUGAUCUUGAUCAAUGACGCAUCAUGUAGAAUGAGACAUCAACAUAGGCAACAACACUAUUUUCGAAGUCUCUAAAUCUUUGUUGUUUAGAAGUAGAUGUGCAUGUGCGGCAUUACAUUUUACCUCCUCUCUAAGUUCGUGGAGUUAACCAACCAACUGUUUAGUGGGAUUGACUUCACAACAGUAGUAACAUAUCAAACAACAAGCAAGUUUCCUCUAUGUUUCAUCAGAUAUGCUAUGUUAUAUUUCUGAUAUGCAAUGUUAGUGUUAACAAUUCUGGGAUUAUAUUUAUGUAUUCUUGAUUUUAAAGUUCAUGUGCUUAUAUACCAAAAAAUAGUUGCGAUGUUGGUACUAUACAUUAGGCAUCGGUUAUUUAAUGAUAAGGAUAUGUUUAUAUGCAGUUGCAGGUAUGGUUCUUAGAAGCGAAAGAGUACUUGGAUCAAGUUCUAGGCCAAGAAAGUCAAACAAAGAUGAUCCUAUUUUGAUAGAUGAUGCAGAGGUGAAAUAUAUAGGAUGAACAUGAUAUAAAGGAAGAGUAUUACAACUCAAAUUUUGAAGAGGCGUAUAAUGACUGCCCCAAUAACUACUCUUCUCUAGCCGUCGUGUUUCUAGGAGAUGAAGAUUAUAACAAAACAAAUCCACAUGGAACACAAAUCGUACUUUACAAAGACAAAAAUGAGCAUAAGACGCAGAGGAGAAAGAGCUUGCAAUGCUACGAACUCAAUUAUACUGUCCUCCAAAGUUACCUGAAUGUUUAUUAAACAGAACGAACAACAUUUGAAACAUGUUCGGUUAAAAGAGCUAUGGAGUUAGCUAAAAUGUCAUAAUUGAGAUGCUCUUCGUUAUGUUGAAUGUUUUCAUCACUCACAAAGUGCAAGGCCACUUUCUUAUCUCUUUUACUAUCAUUGCCGCCUGGGGUAAGUUCAAAUGUUCUUAAAGAAUCGAACAGUUCAUCCAAUUUCAAAAAAGCAAUAUUAU